CUCCAGCCACCAGAAGUUACAUCAGGCAGCAAAAUCAAGAACAAAAAAAAAGGGUCAUUCUCAUUUUUCAGGCAGUUCAAUUCAUCUUGAAGCUGAUGCACUGAAAGCUGUUUCAUUUGAUGGAUUUCCAAAGAGCAAACUGAAGGAGCUGAGACAGAGCUGUACACCUAACAAAGGAGAUGGUACCUUUACAAGAGCUGUGGGUGCUUCAUCCUUGGAAAUGUUCAAGGCCAGGUUGGACGGGGGUUGGAGCAACCUGGAAGGUGUCUCUGCCCAUGGCAGGGAGUUGGAACUAGGUGAUCUUUAAUGUCUCUUCCAACCCAAAGCACUCUAUGAUUCUAUGAAUAAAUAACAGUGACAAAAACAUG